rnacentral:rRNA from 1 species
UACGUAGGGUGCAAGCGUUGUCCGGAAUUAUUGGGCGUAAAGAGCUCGUAGGCGGUCUGUCACGUCGGCUGUGAAAACCCGAGGCUCAACCUCGGGCCUGCAGUCGAUACGGGCAGACUAGAGUUCGGUAGGGGAGACUGGAAUUCCUGGUGGUAGCGGUGAAAUGCGCAGAUAUCAGGAGGAACACCGGUGGCGAAGGCGGGUCUCUGGGCCGAAACUGGACGCUGAGGAGCGAAGCGUGGGGAGCGAACAGG